UUUGGGACCCCCUUCUCUGAAACACGGACCAAGGAGUCUAACAUGUGCGCGAGUCAUUGGGACCGCAAAACCUAAAGGCGUAAUGAAAGUGAAGGUCGAUCUUGCGUCGACUAAGGGAGGAUAGGCUGUGUCACGAUGCAGCCCCGCACUCCCGGGGCGUCUCGUACUCAUUGCGAGUUGAGGCGCACCCAGAGCGUACACGUUGGGACCCGAAAGAUGGUGAACUAUGCCUGGUCAGGACGAAGUCAGGGGAAACCCUGAUGGAGGUCCGUAGCGAUUCUGACGUGCAAAUCGAUCGUCGGAACUGGGUAUAGGGGCGAAAGACUAAUCGAACCAUCUAGUAGCUGGUUCCCUCCGAAGUUUCCCUCAGGAUAGCUGGCACUCGCGUUGAGCGAGUCUCAUCUGGUAAAGCGAAUGAUUAGAGGCCUUGGGGCCGAAACGACCUCAACCUAUUCUCAAACUUUAAAUGGGUGAGAUCUCUGGCUUGCUUGAACAGUGAAGCCACGAGAUUUCGGAUCAGAGUGCCAAGUGGGCCAAUUUU
rnacentral:rRNA from 1 species